AGGAUUUUAGUUUAUCUAAAACAAUUAAAUUGCAAUUAAUUAUUAUAUAUAUUAUAUAAAUCUUA
rnacentral:tRNA from 1 species